rnacentral:rRNA from 1 species
GACGUAGGGCGCAAGCGUUUGUCCGGAUUUAUUGGGCGUAAAGAGCUCGUAGGCGGUUUGUCGCGUCUGCUGUGAAAACUCGGGGCUUAACCCCGGGCCUGCAGUGGGUACGGGCAGACUAGAGUGCGGUAGGGGAGACUGGAAUCCUGGUGUAGCGGUGAAAUGCGCAGAUAUCAGGAGGAACACCGAUGGCGAAGGCAGAUCUCUGGGCCGUAACUGACGCUGAGGAGCGAAAGCAUGGGGAGCGAACAGG